GACGAACGCUGGCGGCGUGCCUAAUACAUGCAAGUAGGACGCACAGUCUAUACCGUAGCUUGCUACACCAUAGACUGUGAGUUGCGAACGGGUGAGUAACGCGUAGGUAACCUGCCUAUUAGAGGGGGAUAACUAUUGGAAACGAUAGCUAAUACCCGCAUAACAGUAUGUAACACAUGUUAGAUGCUUGAAAGAUGCAAUUGCAUCGCUAGUAGAUGGACCUGCGUUGUAUUAGCUAGUAGGUAGGGUAAUGGCCUACCUAGGCGACGAUACAUAGCCGACCUGAGAGGGUGAUCGGCCACACUCUGACUGAGACACGGCCCAGACUCCUACGGGAGGCAGCAGUAGGGAAUCUUCGGCAAUGGGGGGAACCCUGACCGAGCAACGCCGCGUGAGUGAAGAAGGUUUUCGGAUCGUAAAGCUCUGUUGUUAAGGAAGAGCGAGUGUGAGAAUGGAAAGU
rnacentral:rRNA from 1 species